UACGUAGGGGGCGAGCGUUGUCCGGAAUUAUUGGGCGUAAAGAGCGUGUAGGCGGUUCGGUAAGUCUGCCGUGAAAACCUGGGGCUCAACCCCGGGCGUGCGGUGGAUACUGCCGGGCUAGAGGGUGGUAGAGGCGAGUGGAAUUCCCGGUGUAGCGGUGGAAUGCGUAGAGAUCCGGAAGAACACCGGUGGCGAAGGCGGCCUGCUGGGCAGUAGCUGACGCUGAUGCGCGACAGCGUGGGGAGCAAACAGG
rnacentral:rRNA from 1 species